rnacentral:rRNA from 1 species
UACAGAGGGUGCGAGCGUUGUCCGGAAUCACUGGGCGUAAAGGGCGCGUAGGUGGUGGCUUAAGCGUGCGGUGAAAGCUCGGGGCUCAACCCCGAGUCGGCCGUGCGAACUGGGCUCACUGGAGCAUAGUAGAGGCAGGUGGAAUUCCGGGUGUAGCGGUGGAAUGCGUAGAGAUCCGGAAGAACACCGGUGGCGAAGGCGGUCUGCUGGGCAGUAGCUGACACUGAGGCGCGACAGCGUGGGGAGCAAACAGG